GUGAACGCUGGCGGUAGGCCUAACACAUGCAAGUCGAACGGCAGCACAGUAAGAGCUUGCUCUUACGGGUGGCGAGUGGCGGACGGGUGAGGAAUACAUCGGAAUCUACUUUUUCGUGGGGGAUAACGUAGGGAAACUUACGCUAAUACCGCAUACGACCUACGGGUGAAAGCAGGGGAUCUUCGGACCUUGCGCGAUUGAAUGAGCCGAUGUCGGAUUAGCUAGUUGGCGGGGUAAAGGCCCACCAAGGCGACGAUCCGUAGCUGGUCUGAGAGGAUGAUCAGCCCCACUGGAACUGAGACACGGUCCAGACUCCUACGGGAGGCAGCAGUGGGGAAUAUGGGACAAGGGGCGCAAGCCUGAUCCAGCCAUACCGCGUGGGUGAAGAAGGCCUUCGGGUUGUAAAGCCCUUUUGUUGGGAAAGAAAAGCAGCAGGUUAAUACCCCGCUGUUCUGACGGUACCCAAAGAAUAAGCACCGGCUAACUUCGU
rnacentral:rRNA from 1 species